rnacentral:rRNA from 1 species
GUAGGUGGCAAGCGUUGUCCGGGAAUUAUUGGGGCGUAAAGCGCGCGCGGGCGGUUCUUUAAGUCUGAUGUGAAAGCCCACGGGCUCAACCGUGGAGGGUCAUUGGAAACUGGAGAACUUGAGUACAGAAGAGGAAAGCGGAAUUCCACGUGUAGCGGUGAAAUGCGUAGAGAUGUGGAGGAACACCAGUGGCGAAGGCGGCUUUCUGGUCUGUAACUGACGCUGAGGCGCGAAAGCGUGGGGAGCAAACAGGAUUAGAUACCCUGGUAGUCCACGCCGUAAACGAUGAGUGCUAAGUGUUAGGGGGUUUCCGCCCCUUAGUGCUGCAGCUAACGCAUUAAGCACUCCGCCUGGGGAGUACGGCCGCAAAGGCUGA